AGCGAGGGAAAUUGGCUAGGCCGUGGCAGGGCUAGGAGGGGCGUGGAGGACGCGGGGGCUCGCAGGGACGGGGCCGAGGCGUGCGCGCGGAGGCCAUGUUGGAGGCCAUGUGGGAGGCCAUGUUGGAGGCCAUGUUUGUUGUGAUGUGUUGAGGCGGGGAUUCGGUGCUCAAGUCCGCGCUCGUGUAUGUGUGAAACUGACAAAAGGUGUAAAUAGAGAACGUGAAAAUACUGUUACGAAAGAAAAGUGGACUUUGUGCUUCUAAGAAGCACUUGUAACUUGAUUUUUAUAACUGAAGAUAUUAAUAGAAUACCCGUUUAAUCCCAAGAGGACGACAAACUUCAUAAUAAGGGACCAAUCAAGGUUAGU